AUUGAACGCUGGCGGCAUGCCUUACACAUGCAAGUCGAACGGCAGCACGGGGGCAACCCUGGUGGCGAGUGGCGAACGGGUGAGUAAUACAUCGGAACGUGCCCAGUAGUGGGGGAUAGCUCGGCGAAAGCCGGAUUAAUACCGCAUACGACCUACGGGUGAAAGUGGGGGAUCGCAAGACCUCGCGCUAUCGGAGCGGCCGAUGUCAGAUUAGGUUGUUGGUGGGGUAAAGGCCACCAAGCCGACGAUCUGUAGCUGGUCUGAGAGGACGACCAGCCACACUGGGACUGAGACACGGCCCAGACU
rnacentral:rRNA from 1 species